CCCUACUCGCGCCUCGUCAUAUUCUUAUAGCAAAAUCUACUUCUAAUGUAAAUGUCACAUAACUUUUGUCAGUCAAUACUUUAUGUUGAGAACCAUUGUAUAAAAUCACUUCUCUUUUGGAUUCCGAUCGAACAACAUCAAAAUUGUAACGUCUCAAGAAUACAACGAAAUAAGCAGUUUCCGAGUUUUAUUUAUAAAAUUCCAUCGCGUCUGCAAGGCGCGAACAUUGGCGACCGUGACAGGACUGCAAUUUCGGACAAUUCUGGAAGAUUAAGCCAAGGACACCUGGAGUCAGCCGAGCAGUGACGCAGCAAAAGCUUCACCUCGCAGCCUGGAUUUCAGAUAAGUGCCCUGAUUAUUCCUUCCUUACAUCAUCCCAACACUAUUAAACCACACCUAAACCUUUUUUAUUCCCGAAAUCCUAUCCAAUUUAGUAAAAACUUUCACUUGUGCAAAUUGUGUCUACCCCAUAAUUUUUAUUCAUUGUUCAAAAUAUCAUCAAAUCAUUGUAAUUUAUCUCUUUUUCAAGUAAUUAAAGCCAAAUCCUAAUCACAAUAACGUAUCGCGCCAGUAGUUUCCCGGUUUUUAGUAUUUUUUGCCGAAUAUUUCAGUUGUGCCAGCGGCCGACCUCAACGAGCCGGCUAACGGGACAUCAGCUGAUUCAACGCGUCAACACCGGCUUCCUAGCUGCCGUCGGGGCUGAGGGCGGCACUUCUUAACCAGAAAGACCACUGAAUGCGCUGCCGUCACCAUCUCUGGAGGCUGAUGAUGAAAAACGACUCCAGCGCUACGCUCUGUUGGAGAAACUACAAUAUUUUUGGAGAAGAAGUUAGAAAUUUUAACCAAAUUGCAAGUCAGAACAAAAUGGAGACAAAGCAAGAGCAAGAUAAAGAUAGGAGACUCUACAGGAGAUUCUACUUCACGAGAAAUCUCUCCCACCUCUUUGUUGACGUGCUGGGCGAGUAAACAAAUUGCAUCCCGGCCCUGAUGGAAUUGUCCGUGUUGCUGACGUGAAGACCACCUCCGGCAGCUACCGACGGCCCUUAGUGCGGCUCUGCCCGCUGCUCAGCGAUGAAGACUUCGAGAGUUGAAGAGCUGGAGCCUUCAACCGGGGGGAGUAUGUUGCGGCCCUACUCGCGCCUCGUCAUAUUCUUAUAGCAAAAUCUACUUCUAAUGUAAAUGUCACAUAACUUUUGUCAGUCAAUACUUUAUGUUGAGAACCAUUGUAUAAAAUCACUUCUCUUUUGGAUUCCGAUCGAACAACAUCAAAAUUGUAACGUCUCAAGAAUACAACGAAAUAAGCAG